GCUGCCUCCUGAACCAGGAGCAGCCUGGAGUUGGGCAGCAGAUUCGAAGCUCAGUGGGGUAGGGCUGCGCUCACAGCUCCAGCCAGGCUGGGCUGGCCUGCCCCAGGCAGCUGGUGAGAGGCAGGAAGUUUGAGGUCCAUUUUCGGAAUAUAGUAUUUAGUUUCAACUGGGAUGUAGAGACCCAAUUGCAGCCGUUUUUAACCACAGCCCUCCUCUACUACCCCAAUGUCAAAAGUAGCUAGUUGCAUAGAUUGUAACCCCAAGGCACUCCUAUCAGUGCAAGGGUACAGCACUACAUUAGGGAUAAAAGCAGGUGGGCUGCCCACCCAGCUGUGCCUGUUCAGUGCCACACCCUUCUGCAGAGGUCUGCCUUGCCACCCACUUCCCAGCACCUCCUGCAGGCGCACACACUCAGAUCAAAGAGCCAACCCUCCACCUGGCCUGCCAUCAGCUUCCUCCGGACCCUGCAGCCUCUUGGCUCAUCGAGGCCUUGGGCCCCUCUGGGCACUCUACUCCUGCUCCAUCUCCUAGAACAUGCUGCUUGUGAAUGAGCUUGCUCCCUGUCUGUUCAGACGCAUGUUGUCUGGCUCCCCUGCUUUUCCUCUUGUCCUCUGACUCGGGGCCUGUCUGAGAAUGGCCGCCAAUCCUGCCCUAGAGAACCUGGAGGGUGCCCCCGCUCUGCAGCUGAAGCAGGGUUAAGGACAGGGUCAUGUGACCCAACUCUGCCACUGACUUUGUGGCUGUGUGCACAUUACUCACCCUCUCUGUGCCUCAUAACCUUCAGGAAUAAGGGUCAUCCUGAUUCCCCUCUCAGAAUGGAUGGGUUUCAGAGAAGUGUUCAGGGGCUUGCAAAGAUUCUGUAUCGCCCUGCCAGACUCUUCCUGAGGAAAAGGCCACCCCAUCCUGGGUCUGUCCACAAGAGUUGAGUCAGGAAUGAAACCACUUUGUACCCCCAGCCCUCCCAGACCUUCUCUGAGGCCCAUUAUGGGAGGCCUCCACAGAGAGCAAAGAAUGCCCCCACCUGCUCUCCAGUCCACCAUCAGGUUCAGCAAUGCCUCGGGGGAGACUGUGAUCCCAGGAGGUAGGCCAGGGAGGCACAGUCCUGCCCUGGGUGGGUGA
rnacentral:lncRNA from 1 species